UACUUGUGGAGACCCGCGGGGUGCUGAGGCUGUGGAGGCUGACUAGAGGGACCUGGAGCUGAGGACCGAGUGUUGAAUAAGCAUAUAUAUAAUUAUAAAAACCAUGGAUGAAGAACCUGAAAGAACUAAGCGGUGGGAAGGAGGCUAUGAGAGAACCUGGGAAAUUCUUAAAGAAGAUGAAAGUGGAUCACUUAAAGCUACAAUAGAGGAUAUUCUCUUCAAGGCAAAGAGGAAAAGAGUGUUUGAGCACCAUGGACAAGUUCGACUUGGAAUGUGUCCCUGGACGUUUUCUCCUUUGUGUCUGGUAGAUGCGCCACCUGUACGUGGUGGUGGAUGGGUCCAGAACAAUGGAAGAUCAGGAUUUAAAGCCCAACAGACUGACCUGUACUCUAAAGUUGUUGGAAUAUUUUGUAGAAGAAUAUUUUGAUCAAAACCCUAUCAGUCAGAUUGGCAUAAUUGUAACUAAGAGUAAAAGAGCUGAAAAACUGACUGAACUCUCAGGAAACCCAAGGAAACACAUAACAUCUUUGAAGAAAGCUGUAGAUAUGACCUGCCAUGGAGAACCAUCACUCUAUAAUUCCUUAAGCAUGGCUAUGCAAACCCUAAAACACAUGCCCGGACACACAAGCAGAGAAGUGCUCAUCAUCUUCAGCAGCCUCACGACCUGUGACCCCUCUAAUAUUUAUGACCUCAUCAAGACCCUGAAGACAGCUAAAAUUAGAGUGUCUGUUAUUGGGUUGUCUGCGGAGGUUCGAGUUUGUACUGUACUUGCUCGAGAAACUGGUGGCACAUACCACGUCAUCCUAGAUGAGACCCAUUACAAGGAGCUGUUAGCCCGUCAUGUGAGCCCUCCUCCCGCCAGCUCCGGCUCCGAGUGCUCC
rnacentral:lncRNA from 1 species